CUGGGAGCCAUUCACACACCUGGGCCACGCCCACCGCACAUCUGGGCCACGCCCAGCGCACACCUGGGAGCCAUUCACACACCUGGGCCAUGCCCAGUGCACACCUGAGAUUUAUUAUUCACACCUGGGCCACGCCCACUGCACACCUGGGAGAUAUUUACACACCUGGCCACGCCCACUGCACACCUGGCAUUCACACACCUGGCCACGCCCACGUCACACACAGGCCACGCCCACUGCAUACCUGAGAUUCAUUUUCACACCUGAGCCACGCCCACUUCACACCAGGGAAUCAUUCACACACCUGGGCCACACCCACCAUGCACCUGUGACUCAUUUGCACACCUGGGCCACGCCCACUACACACGUGAGGUUCAUUUUUCACACCUGGGCACACACCUGGGCACACCUGGGCCCCCAAAAACCGCUCCAGGUGUACGCACGUCCAUCCAGGUGUGCCCAGGUGUGCCCAGGUGAGCUCAGCUGUAUCUCAGGUGUGUCCAUGUCCAUCCAGGUGUGCCCAGGUGUAUCUCAGGUGUGUCCAGGUGUAUCUCAGGUGUGUCCGUUGUCCAUCGAUGUGUGCAUGUCCAUCCAGAUGUAUCUGAGGUGUCUCCAGGUGUGCCCAGGUGUAUCUCAGGUGUCUCCAGGUGUGCCCAGGUGUAUCUCAGGUGUAUCCAUUGUCCAUCCAGGUGUCUCCAGGUGUAUCUCAGGUAUAUCCAGGUGUGUCCAUGUCCAUCCAGGUGUAUCUCAGGCAUGCCCAGGUGUAUCUCAGGUGUCUCCAGGUGUGCCCAGGUGUAUCUCAGGUGUGUCUAUUGUCCAUCCAGGUGU